CACCAUGGGAUAGCAUGCCGGUAUCUCCUCGGUGCAUGCCGUGAACACUGGUGAACACUCUCAUCAACUCUCAUUUCCUCUUUAUUAUUAUAACCUUCAUUAACUUUGUUGUCUUCUGUCUGCAACAUAUCAUCAUAAAUUUGGUUGAAGUACAUGCUUGUCACGGAAUUAUACAUGGUAGAAAAGUGGGAAAGAAUCUUUAUUAAUAUAUUCCUAAUCACAUUAUUUUUAGGAUUCUU